ACGACCCUGAGCCCCUUUGCACCGUGCACAGCGACCCCGCAGCAUCCGCUGCAGCCUGCAACUCAUUGAGGACUAUCUACCUGAUUUCUCUGCUUGUCGCUUGUUGUGCUCGACAUAGUUAAUGUCAGCUUAUUUUUAUUUGUGCAUUUAUUAGUUCUGUAGCAUAUUUAUGAAGACCUUUGUGGAAUACGUCGUGUGCUGCUGCAGGAAUCACCUGGAAGACAACUUUGUUUGGAGUUUACUUGGAGGAGUUCUCCUUAAUGGCGAAUGGCGGCCAUCAACCAUCUUCAUCCUCGAACAACCAGUGCUGUUCACACUCCAGACCUGUACGUGGCAGUAGCAGCAGGAAUGUCGAUGGCCCACCAGCAGUGAACAAAGAAACAGGAAGUGGUUGCAGCAUGAGCAUAAAUACCUUUCCCUUCCCACUACCAUCGGCUCCAUUUCGGCCGCCACAGCAGCCACCGCCCAUGCCACGGUUAUGGGUGGCCGGCAGGUUCUUGUACACGGCCCGGCUGUACGGGAUGAAGCACAGGCCCAGCUGGAGGUGACGGGCUAGGCGACAGUAUGCAGCCAGCGCCAGGACCAGCAGAGGGGUGACCAAGAGGAAGCCCACCACCAGCAGAGCCACGCAGCCUCCGUCAGUCAGCAGGUCUGAGCAGUAGGGCGUCGUCCCGUGAGGACGGACCUAGGGCGACGAGAGAAGGAAAAACAGCAGCUGGAAUUAUAUGGCGGCAGGAUGUUGUAGAGGUCCUGGCUAAUCCCUCUAAGCUGCUGUCACAUGAGGCCUAAUUGUGAGAGAGCAGGAGAACAGAAAACCCUGGUCUCUCCGGUCAUUAAGGAGGUCGUCGGCCUACAGAAAUGCCGUCGAGUGGCAGAGGAAGCCAAACACCACCAUGACAAUGGCCGGCGUCAGGAUGGUCCCGAACACCAGUCCAGCGAGGCAGGCGUUGAUCGUGGCAAUAAUCAGGUUCUGAGCCGUCACCAGCACCGAGCAGGCCCAGCAGUC